GUGGGGAAUAUUGGACAAUGGGCGAAAGCCUGAUCCAGCCAUGCCGCGUGUGUGAAGAAGGUCUUCGGAUUGUAAAGCACUUUAAGUUGGGAGGAAGGGUAGUAACCUAAUACGUUGCUACUUUGACGUUACCGACAGAAUAAGCACCGACUAACUUCGUGCCAGCAGCCGCGGUAAUACGAAGGGUGCAAGCGUUAAUCGGAAUUACUGGGCGUAAAGCGCGCGUAGGUGGUUCAGUAAGUUGGAAGUGAAAUCCCCGGGCUCAACCUGGGAACUGCCUCCAAAACUGCAUGACUAGAGUACGGUAGAGGGUAGUGGAAUUUCCUGUGUAGCGGUGAAAUGCGUAGAUAUAGGAAGGAACACCAGUGGCGAAGGCGACCACCUGGACUGAUACUGACACUGAGGUGCGAAAGCGUGGGGAGCAAACAGGAUUAGAUACCCCGGUAGUCC
rnacentral:rRNA from 1 species